UCGAGCGAACAGAUGAGAAGCUUGCUUCUCUGAUGUUAGCGGCGGACGGGUGAGUAACACGUGGGUAACCUACCUAUAAGACUGGGAUAACUCCGGGAAACCGGGGCUAAUACCGGAUAAUAUUUUGAACCGCAUGGUUCAAUAGUGAAAGACGGUUUCGGCUGUCACUUAUAGAUGGACCCGCGCCGUAUUAGCUAGUUGGUAAGGUAACGGCUUACCAAGGCGACGAUACGUAGCCGACCUGAGAGGGUGAUCGGCCACACUGGAACUGAGACACGGUCCAGACUCCUACGGGAGGCAGCAGUAGGGAAUCUUCCGCAAUGGGCGAAAGCCUGACGGAGCAACGCCGCGUGAGUGAUGAAGGUCUUCGGAUCGUAAAACUCUGUUGUUAGGGAAGAACAAAUUUGUUAGUAACUGAACAAGUCUUGACGGUACCUAACCAGAAAGCCACGGCUAACUACGUGCCAGCAGCCGCGGUAAUACGUAGGUGGCAAGCGUUAUCCGGAAUUAUUGGGCGUAAAGCGCGCGUAGGCGGUUUCUUAAGUCUGAUGUGAAAGCCCACGGCUCAACCGUGGAGGGUCAUUGGAAACUGGGAAACUUGAGUGCAGAAGAGGAGAGUGGAAUUCCAUGUGUAGCGGUGAAAUGCGCAGAGAUAUGGAGGAACACCAGUGGCGAAGGCGGCUCUCUGGUCUGUAACUGACGCUGAUGUGCGAAAGCGUGGGGAUCAAACAGGAUUAGAUACCCUGGUAGUCCACGCCGUAAACGAUGAGUGCUAAGUGUUAGGGGGUUUCCGCCCCUUAGUGCUGCAGCUAACGCAUUAAGCACUCCGCCUGGGGAGUACGACCGCAGGUUUGAUACUCAAAGGAAUUGACGG
rnacentral:rRNA from 1 species